AGAGUUUGAUCCUGGCUCAGGAUGAACGCUGGCGGCGUGCUUAACACAUGCAAGUCGAACGAACCUUCGGGUUAGUGGCGGACGGGUGAGUAACGCGUGGGAAUCUGCCCUCAGGAGGGGGAUAACGGCUGGAAACGGCCGCUAAUACCCCAUAUGCCGAGAGGUGAAAUGAAUUUCGCCUGAGGAUGAGCCCGCGUCUGAUUAGCUAGUUGGUGAGGUAAGAGCUCACCAAGGCAUCGAUCAGUAGCUGGUCUGAGAGGAUGAUCAGCCACACUGGGACUGAGACACGGCCCAGACUCCUACGGGAGGCAGCAGUGGGGAAUUUUCCGCAAUGGGCGAAAGCCUGACGGAGCAACGCCGCGUGAGGGAUGAAGGCCUCUGGGCUGUAAACCUCUUUUCUCAAGGAAGAAGAUCUGACGGUACUUGAGGAAUAAGCCACGGCUAAUUCCGUGCCAGCAGCCGCGGUAAUACGGGAGUGGCAAGCGUUAUCCGGAAUUAUUGGGCGUAAAGCGUCCGCAGGCGGCCUUUCAAGUCUGCUGUUAAAACGUGGAGCUUAACUCCAUCAUGGCAGUGGAAACUGUUGGGCUUGAGUGUGGUAGGGGCAGAGGGAAUUCCCGGUGUAGCGGUGAAAUGCGUAGAUAUCGGGAAGAACACCAGUGGCGAAGGCGCUCUGCUGGGCCAUAACUGACGCUCAUGGACGAAAGCCAGGGGAGCGAAAGGGAUUAGAUACCCCUGUAGUCCUGGCCGUAAACGAUGAACACUAGGUGUCGGGGGAAUCGACCCCCUCGGUGUCGUAGCCAACGCGUUAAGUGUUCCGCCUGGGGAGUACGCACGCAAGUGUGAAACUCAAAGGAAUUGACGGGGGCCCGCACAAGCGGUGGAGUAUGUGGUUUAAUUCGAUGCAACGCGAAGAACCUUACCAGGGUUUGACAUCCUGCGAAUCUCUUGGAAACGAGAGAGUGCCCUCGGGAACGCAGUGACAGGUGGUGCAUGGCUGUCGUCAGCUCGUGUCGUGAGAUGUUGGGUUAAGUCCCGCAACGAGCGCAACCCACGUCUUUAGUUGCCAGCAUUUAGUUGGGCACUCUAGAGAGACCGCCGGUGAUAAACCGGAGGAAGGUGUGGAUGACGUCAAGUCAUCAUGCCCCUUACAUCCUGGGCUACACACGUACUACAAUGCUACGGACAAAGAGCAGCAAGUUCGCGAGGACAAGCAAAUCUCAUAAACCGUGGCUCAGUUCAGAUCGUAGGCUGCAACUCGCCUACGUGAAGGAGGAAUCGCUAGUAAUCGCAGGUCAGCAUACUGCGGUGAAUACGUUCCCGGGCCUUGUACACACCGCCCGUCACACCAUGGAAGUUGGCCACGCCCGAAGCCGUUACUCCAACCCUUGUGGAGGAGGACGUCGAAGGUGGGGCUGAUGACUGGGGUGAAGUCGUAACAAGGUAGCCGUACCGGAAGGUGCGGCUG
rnacentral:rRNA from 10 species